GAGGGUAUAGCUCAGUGGUAGAGUGUGUGCCUAGCACGCAUGAGGUCCUGGGUUCAAUCUCCAGAACCUCCA
rnacentral:tRNA from 1 species